UGGGAACGUACCUUUCGGUUCGGGAUAACCCAGGGAAACUUGGGCUAAUACCGGAUACGUCCUUAGGGAGAAAGAUUGAUUUGCCGAGAGAUCGGCCCGCGUCUGAUUAGCUAGUUGGUGAGGUAAAGGCUCACCAAGGCGACGAUCAGUAGCUGGUCUGAGAGGAUGAUCAGCCACACUGGGACUGAGACACGGCCCAGACUCCGUACGGGAGCAG
rnacentral:rRNA from 1 species